CAGUCGCCGCGGUAAUACGAAGGGGGCUAGCGUUGCUCGGAAUUACUGGGCGUAAAGGGCGCGUAGGCGGACAGUUUAGUCAAAGGUGAAAGCCCAGGGCUCAACCUUGGAACUGCCUUUGAUACUGGCUGUCUUGAGUUCGGGAGAGGUGUGUGGAACGCCGAGUGUAGAGGUGAAAUUCGUAGGUAUUCGGCAGAACACCAGUGGCGAAGGCGACACACUGGCCCGAUACUAACGCUGAGGCGCGAAAGCGUGGGGAGCAAACAGGAUUAGAGACCCCUGUAGUCCCUGUCUCUUAUAC
rnacentral:rRNA from 1 species